UUGGAGCACGUAGGGUGCUGGUGACGGGAACGGGUCCAUUGGGUUGUGUUCCUGCGGAAUUGGCCCAGCGAAGCACCAACGGUGACUGCUCAGCUGAGCUGCAGCAAGCUGCAGCCUUGUUCAACCCUCAACUUGUUCAGAUUAUCAGACAACUCAAUAGCGAAAUUGGUUCCAAUGUCUUCGUUGGAGUCAACACGCAACAGAUGCACAUUGAUUUCAUCAGUAACCCUCAAAGAUAUGGUAAAUAUUACAGAAAUGACUACCCUUUUUAAAUUUGAAUUAAAAAGAAAAAUCAUAUUUUUUUCUUACAUAAUAUUCGUAUCCUUCAUGUCAUGCAUCCAAUCCAAUCCAAUAUAUAAAAGUCACGCAACUCACGUACACAAAGACAAAGUUAAUUUUAGUAGAUGCAUUUAAUAGAGGCAUGGACCAUGCAUCAAUCAUAUGGGGGGAGGGAGAAGAUAUCCUUUUCCUUUCUUUCUUUGUAUAGGCUACCAAUAAUGUACAAUAGUGUCUCCGCUCUCCAGAUUGUUUUUUUUUUUUUGAGAUGAGGGUGCUUCUUUUUGCAAAUAACAUAUAACCCUUAUAAUUUUUUUUUAUCACUCAUGUGCUUAGAAUUGCAUGAUAUGCAUAGUUCAUAUAUUGAACUUCAUCGCUGUCCACAUAUUAUGAUAUUAACAUAUAGAUAGAUAUAGGUAGAUACUAAAUACAAAUUCAUUAAAAGCGGAAUGCGUUUACAUACAGACAUGCAUGUGGCAUUAACGAGUUAUGAUAUAGUAGUAGUAUAUGUAUGGUAAAGCUCGUGGUUGAACAUGCAGGAUUUGUUACAUCAAAAGUAGCAUGUUGCGGUCAAGGACCCUACAAUGGUCUUGGACUGUGCACUCCGGCAUCCAACUUGUGCCCUAACCGUGACAGUUAUGCGUUUUGGGAUCCUUUCCAUCCAACAGAAAGGGCUAAUAGGAUAAUCGUUCAACAGAUUUUGUCAGGCACCUCAGAGUAUAUGUACCCAAUGAAUCUCAGCACCAUUAUGGCUUUGGAUUCGUCUAAGAACUAGAUAAAUCAAGGGUCUGUGUCCA
rnacentral:lncRNA from 1 species